GCCGUCGUGGUGGAAUUGGUAGACACGCUAUCUUGAGGUGGUAGUGGCGACAGCUGUGCGAGUUCGAGUCUCGCCGACGGCA
rnacentral:tRNA from 1 species